rnacentral:tRNA from 1 species
AUCUAAAUAGUUUAAGUGGAAAAUUUUGGUUUGUGGUGCCAAGGAUAUAGUGUGUAUUUUAGAUU